UACGGCGGGUGCCCGCGUUAUCCGGAUUCACUGGGUUUAAAGGGUGCGUAGGCGGGCAUGUAAGUCUGUGGUGAAAUCUCCAAGCUUAACUUGGAAACUGCCAUGGAUACUAUAUGUCUUGAAUGUUGUGGAGGUUAGCGGAAUAUGUCAUGUAGCGGUGAAAUGCAUAGAUAUGACAGAGAACACCAAUUGCGAAGGCAGCUGGCUAGACAAAUAUUGACGCUGAGGCACGAAAGCGUGGGGAUCAAACAGG
rnacentral:rRNA from 1 species